AGUAAAGUGGUAAAGAAACUAUACCAGCAAGGCCUGUAUGUGCAAGUUUCCUGACACUCAGGAGUCAUAGAUACCUGUUCCUUUGUCUAAAACAAUUAGGGUUGCUAAUUGGUUAGAUUAUUCAGUUCAGAUUACCUCAGCUGGCAGCCUUCAGGAAGCAAGGGAGUGUAUUUUAUAAUCAAACAAAAGUCCUUGUGUGCUUAGAGCAGCUGACUUAAUUAGGACCCUUUGUCCACAGGAAGCCUUUAAAUGUUUUACAAAUCUACAGAUGUUAAUUGAGCUUUAAAAAGUUGUUUAUCAUUACUUUUCUAUCCUUGUCAUUUAUAAAAUCUUUCCAGCUUUAAUAAGUUUCAGAGUAAUACUAAGACUUGUAAAACUUAUAAGCACAUGGCAGCUAUUAAUGACUUUUCUCAACAUCAAGGGAAUCAGAUGUUAUCAACCAUAUUUUACAGGAGAGACUGUCUCAAGGCUAGAAUUAGGACUCAGAAUACCUGUAAAUUGACCCAGAAUUUUCCCAAUCGAAAAUGACUCUGACUUUCUUUUAAGACAUGACUACAUUAAUUGCAAAUAGCUUCUUCCCACUCCUCUUCCUUCCCUCCAUUAAGUCGUAGCAACACAAGAAUCUGUGGCACAAAACCUAACACCCACUCCCAACUUAAUGGAAUUAAACUAAAGCUGUCUGUGAAUGUCAGUCCCAAAUUUCCUUCUGUACAUGAUGCAAAUGUCUAUGAUUUCUACCUGAAUUAUGAGCAUAAAAAUUCUAUGUGGAAAAUGACAAUCCUUUCUGUUGCCCCCAGGUGAAUAAGUUCAUGUCCGUGAAGAUUUUUGGGUGCUUUGCCAUCACCCUGAUCUACAAAUGUCAUCCCCAAAGUGUAAAACUAUCUCUGGCACCUAUAAAACGGAAGUCUCUUCCUCCGUGCUUACCUGAGGUGCCAUUCCCUGAAGUCAGUCCCAUCUCCAAAGAAACCUGGGAGUAAUUCAAGGCCUGCAAAGUGAAGUACGAGCAAAUGGAAUCCACAACACAGGACAAAGAGAUGUGAAUAAUGCUGCUAUGCACAUGGCUGUAUGAAUAUCUCUUUGAGGCCCUGCUUUCAAUUUUUCUGGAUAUAUUCCCAGGAGUGAAAUUGCUGGAUCAUAUGGCUUCCUCUUCCCACUGAGAAUGAGGAUACAUGGUUUGCUUCCCAACUGGUUUGUCCUGUGGCUCUGAGGAGGACAUUGUGUGGGAAAGAAGGGGACACGUGCCAUUGCAGCACUUACAGCAUCCCUGAAGUAUGAUCAACUUAUAAGAACCAGCUGUCCUCGGUGGAUCAGAUCAUUACAGUCUAUAUGUUCUCAGCUACAGAAAAGGACAAGACUAUCAAAGAAGUGGCCAAAGCGUACAGGGUAGUGAAUAGAUCUAGAAGCACGCCUUGCAUUCAGGAAACCAUGAGUCUGCAUAAUACUACAGUUGUUGAGCUGUACGUGGAAGCUGGACAGCAAUCAGAAUCCACUGGAUAUUCUGGUGGAAGCAUCAAGGAUACCGAGAAAGCUCCUCAGAAAGGUGUGGGGUGGAUUCUGGGAACACGGGGAACAUACCUGCUAGCCUACCAUGAGGCGGGAUUCCUCUGCCCACAGGCUGGAAGCUUCUUGAUAGUCAUUUGGAUUCCUCGUGAUUGUUCAAAGACAACAUAACCCCUGCAUCUAAAUUUACUGGAAACAAUUGUCCACUUCUGGUUCAAAGGCACAAUGUCAGUCCACGAAUUUUUUUGGUAUGUACUUUGAGAUGUAUGACUUUUUUAACCAACUGUUGUGUAUGAUGCUUGCAUGACCUAGAGAUUAAUCAUAGAAAUGCACUGGAGGCUAGAGAGAAUGAAGAAAUAGAUGAGCUCAAAUCACAACCUUCUGUGGUACCCCCUUGACUACAGGUCUGCUUAAAACAAUAGGUUAUAACUGCAGAUCUUUUUAUAACUCUUGGAUUAUCCUUCCUUUUAUUCCAGUGAAGUUAAAAAUGGGAUAAUCUGUUAAAAUUGAGGUGGCUAAAUCAUCCACCUCAUGGGUUGAUAUGGUAUUAUAAUUGCUAAAUUUUAGUUAUUGCAUUUCAGAUGCUUAUAACCUAACUGAGGAGAUAGGAUAUAAUAUCCAUAAUUUACGACUGAAUAGAAUAACUUCUGUGAGACAGCUGUUAUGGUAGAGUACUUUGAAAACAAACUGACCUGAAAUCAAACCUUGGUUCUACUUGCUGUGUGACCUUGGGCAAAUUACUAAGCCUUUCUGAACCUGUUUCCUCCUUUACAAAAGGGGAAAAUUAUAACCAACUUAUAAAAUUUUUAACAUUCAAUGAGAUAAUGUCCACAAAGUGCUUGUUUCAAUUCUUGGCACAUUGAGGGCACUUAAAAAAUGUUAAUUC